rnacentral:rRNA from 1 species
AACCACGGCCAUGCCACCCUGAACAUGCCCGAUCUCGUCUGAUCUCAGAAGCUAAGCAGGGUCAGAUCUGGUUAGUACUUGGAUGAGAGACUAUCUAGGAAUACUGGGCACCAUAGGCA